GUGGGGAAUUUUGGACAAUGGGCGCAAGCCUGAUCCAGCAAUGCCGCGUGAGUGAAGAAGGCCUUCGGGUUGUAAAGCUCUUUUGUCAGGGAAGAAACGGGGUUGGCUAAUAUCUGAUCCUAAUGACGGUACCUGAAGAAUAAGCACCGGCUAACUACGUGCCAGCAGCCGCGGUAAUACGUAGGGUGCAAGCGUUAAUCGGAAUUACUGGGCGUAAAGCGUGCGCAGGCGGUUUUGUAAGACUGACGUGAAAUCCCCGGGCUCAACCUGGGAAUGGCGUUGGUGACUGCAAGGCUAGAGUUUGGCAGAGGGGGGUAGAAUUCCACGUGUAGCAGUGAAAUGCGUAGAUAUGUGGAGGAACACCGAUGGCGAAGGCAGCCCCCUGGGUCAAAACUGACGCUCAUGCACGAAAGCGUGGGGAGCAAACAGGAUUAGAAACCCGUGUAGUCC
rnacentral:rRNA from 1 species